CACCUUACUAAGCCGGUCCGGAACAUUGGGGUUUUGUUUGACCCUCAACUAUCCUUUCUACCCCACAUCUGAUGCCUGCGAUGUCCUCAAAUGCGGGAUACUCGACUGCAAAAUUUGUGGUAGUGGGGACUGCGUUUGGGCUCUCUCCUG
ensembl:snRNA U1 U1 spliceosomal RNA